rnacentral:rRNA from 1 species
UCCGGUUGAUCCUGCCAGAGGCCGCUGCUAUCCGGCUGGGACUAAGCCAUGCUAGUCUAGGGGCUUGUACCCCUUCGGGGGUGCAAGCACCGGCGGACGGCUCAUUAACACGUGGACAACCUGCCCUCGGGUGGGGGAUAACCCCGGGAAACUGGGGCUAAUCCCCCAUAGGUGAUGGGUGCUGGAAUGCCCCAUCUCCGAAAGCGCUCAGCGCCCGAGGAUGGGUCUGCGGCGGAUUAGGUAGUUGGUGGGGUAACGGCCCACCAAGCCUAAGAUCCGUACGGGCUGUGGGAGCGAGAGCCCGGAGAUGGACCCUGAGACAAGGGUCCAGGCCCUACCGGGCGCAGCAGGUGCGAAACCUCCGCAAUGCGGGAAACCGCUACUGGGUUAGCCGGACUGCCCGUGCGUUGCACGGGCUGUUGGGGUGCCUAAACAGCACCCCAUAUCAUGGGCCGGGCAUGGCCAGUGGCAGCCGCCGCGUUCAGACCAGCGGCCCCAGUG